rnacentral:rRNA from 1 species
UACGGAGGGGGCUAGCGUUGUUCGGAAUUACUGGGCGUAAAGCGCACGUAGGCGGCUUUGUAAGUCAGAGGUGAAAGCCUGGAGCUCAACUCCAGAACUGCCUUUGAGACUGCAUCGCUUGAAUCCAGGAGAGGUGAGUGGAAUUCCGAGUGUAGAGGUGAAAUUCGUAGAUAUUCGGAAGAACACCAGUGGCGAAGGCGGCUCACUGGACUGGUAUUGACGCUGAGGUGCGAAAGCGAUGGGGAGCAAACUAGGGAUUAAGAAACCCUGGUAACGUC